rnacentral:rRNA from 1 species
UACGGAGGAUGCGAGCGUUAUCCGGAUUUAUUGGGUUUAAAGGGUGCGUAGGCGGCUUUUUAAGUCAGCGGUGAAAUUUUGCAGCUUAACUGUAACAGUGCCGUUGAUACUGGGGAGCUAGGAUUUGGUUGCUGUGGGUGGAAUGUGUGGUGUAGCGGUGAAAUGCUUAGAGAUCACACAGAAUAUCGAUUGCGAAGGCAGCUCACGAAGCCAAGAUUGACGCUGAGGCACGAAAGUGUGGGGAUCAAACAGGAUUAGA